rnacentral:rRNA from 1 species
UGAUGGCGACCGGCGCACGGGUGAGUAACACGUGUGCAACCAACCCCGUACCGGGAGAUAACCCGCGGAAACGUGGACUAACAUCCCAUGAGACUCUAGAUCCGCAUGGCUCUAGAUUUAAAAUUCCGGUGGUACGGGACGGGCACGCGCGACAUUAGGUAGUUGGCGGGGUAAGGGCCCACCAAGCCGACGAUGUCUAGGGGUUCUGAGAGGAAGGUCCCCCACACUGGAACUGAGACACGGUCCAG